GAUGAGAACGCAGCGAAAUGCGAUACUUGGUGUGAAUUGCAGAAUCCCGUGAACCAUCGAGUCUUUGAACGCAAGUUGCGCCCGAAGCCAUUAGGCCGAGGGCACGCCUGCCUGGGCGUCACACGUCGUUGCCCCCCCAUCUACUCCUUCGGGAUUGCGGGGGGCGGAUGAUGGCCUCCCGUGCGCCUCGCCGCGCGGUUGGCAUAAAUGCCAAGUCCUCGGCGACGCACGCCACGACAAUCGGUGGUUGCGAAACCUCGGUUGCCCGUCGUGUGCGGUCGUCGCGCAUCGAGGGCUCGAAAAAAUUGCCGGGUUCCGGCUCGGCUUUCAACGCGACCCCAGGUCAGGCGGGGUUACCCGCUGAAUUUAAGCAUAUCAAUAAGCGGAGGA
rnacentral:misc_RNA from 1 species